rnacentral:lncRNA from 1 species
AUAAAGAAAAUAAAAAAUUGCCCAUUAACCAUUGUCUACUGAAACAGAAGGCUAAAGUGAAAGAAUGCAAAAGCACAAAACACUGUUUAGGGUCAGCCCUCUCUCUAGAAAUCAGUUCUCUCCUCGACAAAAAUUUCACCCAAAUCAAAUCCCUCAAAUCAAAAUGUGAAUCACAGGUAUGUUUAAAUCCUAAUUUUUCAUUUUUUGGGGAGAAAGAAGUUCCUCCAUUUUAAUAUCGAUUUCGUGAAUUCAAAAUGUGAAUCUCAGGUAUGUUUAAAUCCUAAUUUUUCAUUUUUUGAGGAGAAAGAAGUUCCUCCAUUUUAAUAUCGAUUUCGUGAAGUUCCUCCGUUCAAAUCCCUAAUCCGACUUGAAUAAAAGAAACGAUUCUAUCCAUAAUCGAUUUCACCUUUCUUUCUUCCCGUUACUGUCCCAUAUCGAACUAAAACCCAUAAAGAUUUGUAUAAGAUAUAUUUACAUUUGGGUAUUUUUGUAUAAUGGUUCUGUUAGACGUGUGGUUAGACCUGCCAUGUUGUAUGGGGUGGAGUGUUGGCCAGCGAAGAACUCUCAUGUUAGAGAAUGAAGGUUGCGGAGAUAAGGAUGCUCGGGUGGAUGUGCGGGCUCACCAGGUUAGAUAAGAUUAAGAAUGAAGUUAUUCGAGAGAAGUUGGGGGUGGCCCCGGUGGAUGAGAAGAUGCGAGAAGCGAGUCUGAGGUGGUUUGGGCAUGUGCGGAGGGAGGCCUAAGAGGUAGGUGAUUAGGCAUGACAUAGCUAGAAUGCGGGUUUACGAGGACAUGACCCUUGAUAGGAAAGUCUGGAGGUCUAGUAUCAGGGUUGUAGGAUAGGGGCUCCUAGCGUUUUUCAUACUCCUCACCCGGAGUUGGGUGAGGCUUGGCAGGGCUAUUCAUAGAUGAUUUGUGUAUUGGAUUAUCUCCCUUAUGGUAGUUAUUUAUGGUAGGUAGUGUCUGAUAUUAUUGCAUGCUAUUUUAUUUAUGGUUCUUAUGUUUAGAUAAUUAUUUACGCUAUUUCUGGUGGAUUUACUAAUGCUCUAUUAUUUUCGUUUUUGUUUUUCUUUUCCUUCACUGAGCCGAGGGUCGAUGUUUCUGCUGGAGUUACUAAAGUUCUUUUGUUUUUGUUUUUGUUUUUCUUUCCCUUAACUGAGUCGAGGGUCGAGUGGAGACAGCCUCUCUGCCCUUUCGGGUAGGGUAAGGCCCGUUUACAUAUUACCCUCCCCAGACCCCACUUUGUGGGACUAUACUGGGUAGUUGUUGUUGUUGUUGUUGGUUCUGUUAGACAAAAGUUUCAACAUGUAAUUAGGAUAAUUAUUUUUUCAGCAAUUUCACUUUUGUCUUCUCAGAUUUCAUCCCGAGUUUUUCUGAGUCAUUUGAUAAUCUAAAGGAAUACCUAACAGAUCACACAGAAAGAAUCAUUUGAAGCGUAUUUAGUCUUGUUAUUUUCGAUUCCCGGUUUUGACAGAAUCUCAGCUGUCUCUUUUCUUGGGUAAGUUAAAAUCUUCUUCUUGAGAGACGUUUUGGAUGUCGGCAUUCUAUUCAGUUUGAAUUAUUAUAGGAGCUUCAUAGGUUCUUUCAGUUAUGUCCAUGUCGCAAUAGUCCGUGUAACUCCUUAAAUUAUAUAUGGAAUAGUACAUAUAUAUGCUUUUAAUAUGACUUACUCUCCGUCCGAUGUGUAUAAUUUACAUACUGUGAAAGUCAGGUAGAACUAACACCCUCCAAAGCUGCUACAAUUUGAUGAUGCUUGGAUGGUAUAAAAGCAGGAACAUUUGGAACCUUCUCGGCUUGUACCUUUACUGCCUCAUUCUUUGAUGGAAGAGUUUCUGAAAAUUGAGCUGCCCCAUUGUCACAAGUGCGUUUAACAACAAUUGCAUGUGUCGCACCUUGUUGAUCCUUAGAGCUACUUAACUCGUUUUUAGCAUCCAGCAAUUGCCUAAGAUCUUCUUGAAACUUCUCUACAGAAAUUUUAUCGCCGCGAUACUCGACUUCCCCGUUCCCUACACAUUCUUGAUGAAGUGAUCAAGACAAUCGAUCUGAAUUCUUUACCUACCAAUGAUAAUGAUCAAGGACGGAUACUCUUGGUGCGUGCUUCUUCCUUCUCUCCAAGAGUUGUGUAGAUUACUUAAUAAGCUAACAGUUUGCUGCUAUAUUCUGGACGUAGGAGCAUUUCCCUGUUAUAGAUAUGAAAUGGUAACAAGUGAUCAACUGCUGUUGCUUUUAACUUUGACAUUCGAGUACUUGUCUUUUUCUUUUCUUUUUCCCCUUUACAAUAAUUAACUAGUUCUCAAGCUUACAACAUAACAAGGUGUGCUAUCUACAACCCGAUAGAGACCAACUAUUUAAAAUGCAUCAGGCCUUCAUCAUGAUACAAUUAUUGUAGCAUAUCGACUUUAAGAUUUCUUAAAAAACAUGUGCUAAAAAAUGGAAGUAGGAGUUUUGUAACGUGGAGUAAUCAAGUCUAUAUAUUUGUGGAAUGGUACAUCAGUCAUACGUGGGCUUGAUCUUAUAAUCUUUGGGAGCCCACUGUGGAUUCUGUUUGUGAGUUUGAAGCUAUAGGUUUUAGUCACUAGAACUAGAAUUCUUUUACCAAGUGUUUAUUAUGGGGUCAUUAAAUAUCUGAUAGUAGUUCAAAUAUUCUAUUUCUUAUCUUUAUACUUUUUUUUGGGGACCAGGCAUGUGACUUUUCUGUGUGGAGGAGGAGGGGUAUAUGCUCUUGGAGCUGUUGCUGCUAACUAUAGUAGGGACCAACACAAGAGAGAGAGCAGGGGGGCUAUAUGCUCUUGGAGCUGUUGCUGCUAACUAUAGUAGGGACCAACACAAGAGAGAGUUGUAUUUGAAACAUUUCUUUGAGGUAUCAGCAUCCCUGUUGUGAUUUCCUUGAGGCAACCAUACUUGGUUAUAUGAAAUAAUGUACUUCUUCAACUAUUGUGGGGAUUCAUAUAAGUUGUUUCACUAAAUAUGGGUAUCUGCAUACAUCGAGUAAUACUAUGUGAUUAUAGGUACCUUCCCUUGAUCGACAACCAGGAAAAAGAGAUGUGAUCUGUCUAUUUCAACAACUAAGCACGUGAAGCUAAUGUUAGGGACCUGUAAUUUGAUACAAAUUGUUUUGAGACACGUUGGGCCUGAAUAUGGGUAGCUUGUCUAAUUUAUCUAAAAGACCAAAAGUUUGUGAACGGUGUCAUGUCUUACUUGUUGAGGAGUGUUCAUUCUGUUGAAUAUUUUCUUAGCCUAUGAUGAGCAUUUAGCUUGGAAACCCGUUAAUUGUUGCUUAGGGUCAUUUACUUUUACCUAUAAAGCAAAGGUACUAUUUUGUUUCAUGAGAAACCUGUUAAUUGUUGCUUAUGGUCAGUUACUUUUACCUAUAAAGCAAAGGUACUAUUUUCAUGAAAUUCGUCAGAAGGAGUUUAUCUACUCUGAAAAUUUUCAUUGAACUACCAGAUUACCUCACUGGCCACUUAUAGUGGAAAAUUUAAAGUACAGAUCUGU